AACAAACGCUGGCGGCGUGCCUAAUACAUGCAAGUCGAACGGGGAAAGCUUUCGGGUGAGUACUAGUGGCGCACGGGUGAGGAACGCGUGGAUAAUCUGCCUUAGAGUGGGGGAUAACUAGUCGAAAGAUUAGCUAAUACCGCAUAAGACCACAGGAGCUGCGGCUCAAGGGGUCAAAGGUUUUUCGCUCUAAGAUGAGUCCGCGUAAGAUUAGCUAGUUGGUGAGGUAACGGCUCACCAAGGCGACGAUCUUUAACUGGUCUGAGAGGAUGAUCAGUCACACUGGAAAUGAGACACGGUCCAGACUCCUACGGGAGGCAGCAGUAGGGAAUAUUGCACAAUGGAGGAAACUCUGAUGCAGCGACGCCGCAUGAGUGAUGAAGGCCUUCGGGUCGUAAAGCUCUGUCGCAGGGGAAUAACACAAUGAAGGUACCCUGUAAGAAAGGAUCGGCUAACUUCGUGCCAGCAGCCGCCGUAAUAC
rnacentral:rRNA from 1 species